rnacentral:tRNA from 1 species
GCGUCUGUAGUGUAACGGUUAUCAUCAUUGCCUGUAAGUUCCAAACUACAAAAAAUGCAUUACGCAGACGCCAAUUCUAACAUCGUUCCUUAGUCCAAGCAAUAGACCCGGGUUCGACUCCCGGCGGACGCA